UAAGCCAUGCGAGUCGAACGAGUUUAGGCUGUGGCGUACGGCUCAGUAACACGUGGAUAACCUACCCUUAGGACCGGGAUAACCUUGGGAAACUGAGGACAAUACUGGAUAGGCAAUUUUUCCUGUAAUGGUUUUUUGUUUAAAUGUUUUUUCGCCUAAGGAUGGGUCUGCGGCCGAUUAGGUAGUUGGUUAGGUAAUGGCUUACCAAGCCGUUGAUCGGUACGGGUUGUGAGAGCAAGAGCCCGGAGAUGGAACCUGAGACAAGGUUCCAGGCCCUACGGGGUGCAGCAGGCGCGAAACCUCCGCAAUGUGAGAAAUCGCGACGGGGGGAUCCCAAGUGCCAUUCUUAACGGGAUGGCUUUUCAUUAGUGUAAAAAGCUUUUGGAAUAAGAGCUGGGCAAGACCGGUGCCAGCCGCCGCGGUAACACCGGCAGCUCUAGUGGUAGCAAUUUUUAUUGGGCCUAAAGCGUCCGUAGCCGGUUUAAUAAGUCUCUGGUGAAAUCCUGUAGCUUAACUGUGGGAAUUGCUGGAGAUACUAUUAGACUUGAGACCGGGAGAGGUUAGAGGUACUCCCAGGGUAGAGGUGAAAUUCUGUAAUCCUGGGAGGACCGCCUGUUGCGAAGGCGUCUAACUGGAACGGUUCUGACGGUGAGGGACGAAAGUUAGGGGCGCGAACCGGAUUAGAUACCCGGGUAGUCCUAACUGUAAACGAUGCGGACUUGGUGUUGGGGUGGCUUUGAGCUGCUCCAGUGCCGAAGGGAAGCUGUUAAGUCCGCCGCCUGGGAAGUACGGUCGCAAGACUGAAACUUAAAGGAAUUGGCGGGGGAGCACCACAACGCGUGGAGCCUGCGGUUUAAUUGGAUUCAACGCCGGACAUCUCACCAGAGGCGACAGCUGUAUGAUAGCCAGGUUGAUGACUUUGCUUGACUAGCUGAGAGGUGGUGCAUGGCCAUC
rnacentral:rRNA from 1 species